AUUGAACGCUGGCGGCAGGCCUAACACAUGCAAGUCGAACGGUAACAGGAAGCAGCUUGCUGCUUCGCUGACGAGUGGCGGACGGGUGAGUAAUGUCUGGGAAGCUGCCUGAUGGAGGGGGUUAACUACUGGAAACGGUAGCUAAUACCGCAUAAUGUCGCAAGACCAAAGAGGGGGACCUUCGGGCCUCUUGCCAUCGGAUGUGCCCAGAUGGGAUUAGCUUGUUGGUGGGGUAACGGCUCACCAAGGCGACGAUCCCUAGCUGGUCUGAGAGGAUGACCAGCCACACUGGAACUGAGACACGGUCCAGACUCCUACGGGAGGCAGCAGUGGGGAAUAUUGCACAAUGGGCGCAAGCCUGAUGCAGCCAUGCCGCGUGUAUGAAGAAGGCCUUCGGGUUGUAAAGUACUUUCAGCGGGGAGGAAGGGAGUAAAGUUAAUACCUUUGCUCAUUGACGUUACCCGCAGAAGAAGCACCGGCUAACUCCGUG
rnacentral:rRNA from 1 species